rnacentral:rRNA from 1 species
CGAGUUCUCGUUGAUGAUCGGUGCUUGCACCGAGAUUCACCCCCUUCGAGUGGCGGACGGGUGAGUAACACGUGGGUAACCUGCCCUUAAGUGGGGGAUAACAUUUGGAAACAGAUGCUAAUACCGCAUAGAUCCAAGAACCGCAUGGUUCUUGGCUGAAAGAUGGCGUAAGCUAUCGCUUUUGGAUGGACCCGCGGCGUAUUAGCUAGUUGGUGAGGUAAUGGCUCACCAAGGCGAUGAUACGUAGCCGAACUGAGAGGUUGAUCGGCCACAUUGGGACUGAGACACGGCCCAAACUCCUACGGGAGGCAGCAGUAGGGAAUCUUCCACAAUGGACGCAAGUCUGAUGGAGCAACGCCGCGUGAGUGAAGAAGGCUUUCGGGUCGUAAAACUCUGUUGUUGGAGAAGAAUGGUCGGCAGAGUAACUGUUGUCGGCGUGACGGUAUCCAACCAGAAAGCCACGGCUAACUACGUGCCAGCAGCCGCGGUAAUACGUAGGUGGCAAGCGUUAUCCGGAUUUAUUGGGCGUAAAGCGAGCGCAGGCGGUUUUUUAAGUCUGAUGUGAAAGCCCUCGGCUUAACCGAGGAAGCGCAUCGGAAACUGGGAAACUUGAGUGCAGAAGAGGACAGUGGAACUCCAUGUGUAGCGGUGAAAUGCGUAGAUAUAUGGAAGAACACCAGUGGCGAAGGCGGCUGUCUGGUCUGUAACU